rnacentral:rRNA from 1 species
GUAGGGAAUAUUGCGCAAUGGGCGAAAGCCUGACGCAGCGACGCCGCGUGAGUGAUGAAGGCCUUAGGGUCGUAAAGCUCUGUUGAAUGGGAAGAAAAAAAUGACGGUACCAUUCGAGAAAGGAUCGGCUAACUUCGUGCCAGCAGCCGCGGUAAGACGAGGGAUCCUAGCGUUGUUCGGAAUCAUUGGGCGUAAAGCGAGUGUAGGUGGCCAUUCAAGUCAGUUGUGAAAGCCCCGGGCUUAACCCGGGAAGUGCUUCUGAUACUGUUUGGCUUGAGUACUGGAGAGGAUAGUAGAAUUCCUGGUGUAGUGGUGAAAUACGUAGAUAUCAGGAGGAAUACCGGUGGCGAAGGCGGCUAUCUGGCCAUGUACUGACGCUGAGACUCGAAAGCGUGGGGAGCAAACAGG